GUGCCUUGUUCUUAAGAGAAGCUGCUGAAAAAUUUAAGGAUAAGGCAUCCUGAUGUCAGUAAGUCAUUUGUAAAUGGCUCAGCCAACACAAUGUUUCUAUAUUUUUAGAGAGAGACAGAAAGCAAACACCAGUCAUUGGUCACUUAGCAACGGGACUUGUUCUGAGAAAUGGAUUCUUAGAUGGUUUUGUCAUCGUGUGAACAUCAUGAAGUAUACUACACAAACACAAAAAAAUAUGGUUUAGCCUAUUGCUUCUACACUGAAGACUUGUGCAGCAUGUUACUGUACUGAAUACGGCAGGCAAUUGUAAUACAAUGAGUUCAACACUGGCCUUGCCCAAGUACCAUGCGGAGACCUGGACCUCAGGAACUCCAACACACACGCCCUUUUCAGAAAUUUGUAAUUUCAUCAUUUCUUGACCAAAUGACUCCAACCCCAGAAAGGCACGAAUUUUCCACUGGGAUUUAUUCUCCCCUCCCCUUUGAUCUUACCCUAAGGAUCAAAUUCAAGCCAUACCGGAUGUGCCCAAAUCAUUUCCAUCUGACGCCCAGGACGACCCAGAAGGCCUGGCCUUGAGGAGCAGCUCCCAGUGAGAGCUAUUUGUGAAGGAACCAAGCUAGAACCACGUCAAUUGUUUCUGUUCAGCCUGGUCCUAGCCCCACUGGUAUGGUCUUACUGACUUUCUUCUGACAGCUGAGUUUUUAAAAUGGGCUGCUUUACAGUGUGGCCAUGGAUUAAAAUAAGAAAAAAGAAGCCCUGCAUUUCUAUUCUAUUUCCCUCCCACCCCCUCCCUUUCCAGCAUAUAAAUAAAGUGCUUCUCACAGAACAGAAGCUUACUGAC